rnacentral:misc_RNA from 1 species
GGCCUCAUGUUAAUGGGUCGUCGAUAAUUCUUCCCACGAUAGUAAAUAAGAGCAAAUCCUUUGGGUACUCUUUCUAUUGCCACUAGUAUUCCUGCACUCUCAUAUUCCAACAACCUAGCUGUAUCUUCAACAAAUGCAAGAGUCUUUUGUUUGGAUAUCAGCUUCACUAGUUCUCUAUGCUUCCAGUGCAAAUGCAUAUUUUCAAUGACACCAUCAAAAACACCACGAAUGCCUAGAGGCAAGUAUGCCUUCAUUCUUAAGCCAAC